CAUGCAGCGGCCCACAGAUAAUACCGUUCGCGAUCUAUUGCGUGAACAUUUCGCAAACUAAUACCGAGCGAUUCAAGAGCCGCUUGAUGAUGUUCCAGGCGCGUUAAUUGACUGACGAUGUUGCCUGGCGUCACUGGAUUAUUUCGGAUACUCAGCACUUUGAAGAUAUCAAUAGUUGCGAAGAAAAUUGAAACCUAACAUUUUGACGGGUGCAGUGGGUCUGGUGUUAAAGUUCCCUCGCACGCGAACAAUUGCUCUAUCGUCGUGAAGCUGUUGUGUCACCUUCUUUGGGUCACGAAAAGAAAAAGAAGGAAGAAGUAAUGAAAUAAAGGAGG